rnacentral:rRNA from 1 species
GACGAACGCUGGCGGCGUGCCUAACACAUGCAAGUCGAACGGGGUAGUUCCUUCGGGGACUACUUAGUGGCGAACGGGUGAGUAACGCGUGAGAAACCUGCCUUUCAGUGGGGGACAACAGUUGGAAACGACUGCUAAUACCGCAUAAUGUUUCGAGAGGGCAUCCUUUUGAAACCAAAGCUUUAUGUGCUGAAAGAUGGUCUCGCGUCUGAUUAGCUAGUUGGUGAGGUAACGGCUCACCAAGCCGACGAUCUUUAGCUGGUCUGAGAGGAUGAUCAGCCACACUGGGACUGAGACACGGCCCAG